CAAAAGUAGCAGGAGAACUGAACUGCAACUAAAGGAAGUAGCCUAGUUUGAAUAUUGUAAUAAUAUAACUGUACUUCAUAGUAUUGGAGUAUAGAAGAUACAAACCGUAAAAGUGAUGCUGGCCCAGCCCUCCCUCAGAGAACCACAGGAGGAGGUGGAGGUGGAGGGAGAGAGUGAACUACCAGAGGCCAAUGGAGAGAUGGAGGAAGAGAGGGAGAGAAGAGAGGGGGAGGAGGAAACCAUGGAGGAGAGUACGGAGGAGAGGGAGAGCGACUCGGACGAUAGUGAGGAGGAGGAAGAGGAGGAAGAGGAGAGUUCAGAGAUGGAUGAUGAGGACUGUGAGAGGAGGAGAGGAGAGUGCCUAGAUGAGAUGUCAGACCUAGAGAAACAGUUCCUGGAACUGAAAGACAAGUUGUUUCGUGAGCGGUUGAACCAGGUUAAGGUGAAGCUAGAUGAGGUGUUGACUGGUAAAGCAGGAGAAUACAGAGAACCACUGGCAACACUACAACACAACAUGACGCUACGCACCCAGGUGGCAGGUGUGUACAGAGAACUGUGUCUACAGGUGAUCCAACACCGGUACGAGUGUGAGCUGCAGGGAGCUCGACAACACCUGGAGAGCGAGAGGACAUUGUUGUUUGAUGCUAUGAAGACAGAGCUGCUGGACAAGAUCAGACGGCUGGAGGAGGAUAGUCAGAGUGGGGACCUCACGUCAGAGUGGUGGAGUGAUGAGGUGAAAGGGAAGAAGUGUAAAAGGAGGAGUCUGUCCCGGCCAGAGAGGAAGAAGAAGGCUGCCCUCGUAUCUGGCCCGUUCAUCGUCUACAUGUUGAGAGACAUUGAUAUCCUGGAAGACUGGGCAGCUAUACAGAAGGUGCAUAUCUGAAUGUUGAUGUCCGUUCUAGGCAGCCGACAUAAACAAGCUAAAGCAGCACUGACACCACUAAAGAAGAAAUCAGACAAGCGGUGAUUACAGAGGAGUGUCUCAGAUGUCUAGAUGAACCAAAGUCUCUGAGUUGCAGAAGAGAACUCACAACAACAGAACAGUCCUGACCACUAUUUAAAACAAAGCACUUCAGUAGGGUCUUGUUCAGUAGGGCAUACUGGAACAAAACAUGCUUCAACAGAAAAUGUAAAUCUGUCUUCUUAUUGGACAAGUUCAGGACAGUACCUCCCUGUUAUCAAACCGUUUUGUCCCUACUGAACACAGCCCAGACUAUGAAGACGAAGCAGCAGAUUGAUCACUUUUAGGUUCUGAUUCAUCUAUCACACUAUGGCCCAGUUAGCUUUAGGUUCUGAUUCAUCUAUCACUAGUGCUAAGCGAUUAACCAAAAUGUUUAAUAGGUUUUUAAACAAGUAAUUGACCAACGUUGGUUCAAUUGUUUGAAUUACAUUUCGUAAUUUUUUUCCCCCUGUGAGCUCAAUGUGCAGUUAGUCUAGAGAUAAAUCAGAACAAGCCCGAACUGUGCAAUUUAGUAGGGAGUUGUCAUUUCUAACAGGCUUUGUGGUAAUGAACUACAAUGACCAUAAUCCAUUGCGCGCCUACUUGUCCGGUCUGUGGAGUAGACACGAAGAGGGAGAGGAGGGAGAGAGAGCAGCUGCUUCGAGGUAUCUCUACCUGAAAAUACAUCAUCUAAGUGAUUGAUAUUGGUAUUCAGCCAUCAUUAAAGUCUUAUUGACUUUAAAAGACUAAAACAGUGAUGUUGUCAGAGAUGACUUAGUGAUUCUGUCAGACAGCAGCUCUAUAGAGAUGAGAUGACUUAGUGAUUAUGUCAGACAGCAGCUCUAUAGAGAUGAGAUGACUUAGUGAUGUUGUCAGACAGCAGCUCUAUAGAGAUGAGAUGACUUAGUGAUUAUGUCAGACAGCAGCUCUAUAGAGAUGAGAUGACUUAGUGAUUCUGUCAGACAGCAGCUCUAUAGAGAUGAGAUGACUUAGUGAUUAUGUCAGACAGCAGCUCUAUAGAGAUGAGAUGACUUAGUGAUGUUGUCAGACAGCAGCUCUAUAGAGAUGAGAUGACUUAGUGAUUCUGUCAGACAGCAGCUCUAUAGAGAUGAGAUGACUUAGUGAUUCUGUCAGACAGCAGCUCUAUAGAGAUGAGAUGACUUAGUGAUUCUGUCAGACAGCAGCUCUAUAGAGAUGAGAUGACUUAGUGAUGUUGUCAGACAGCAGCUCUAUAGAGACGAGAUGACUUAGUGAUUCUGUCAGACAGCAGCUCUAUAGAGAUGAGAUGACUUAGUGAUUCUGUCAGACAGCAGCUCUAUAGAGAUGAGAUGACUUAGUGAUUCUGUCAGACAGCAGCUCUAUAGAGAUGAGAUGACUUAGUGAUGUUGUCAGACAGCAGCUCUAUAGAGACGAGAUGACUUAGUGAUUCUGUCAGACAGCAGCUCUAUAGAGAUGAGAUGACUUAGUGAUUCUGUCAGACAGCAGCUCUAUAGAGAUGAGAUGAUGACUUAGUGAUUCUGUCAGACAGCAGCUCUAUAGAGAUGAGAUGAUGACUUAGUGAUUCUGUCAGACAGCAGCUCUAUAGAGAUGAGAUGAUGACUUAGUGAUUCUGUCAGACAGCAGCUCUAUAGAGAUGAGAUGAUGACUUAGUGAUUCUGUCAGACAGCAGCUCUAUAGAGAUGAGAUGACUUAGUGAUUCUGUCAGACAGCAGCUCUAUAGAGAUGAGAUGACUUAGUGAUUCUGUCAGACAGCAGCUCUAUAGAGACGAGAUGACUUAGUGAUUCUGUCAGACAGCAGCUCUAUAGAGAUGAGAUGACUUAGUGAUUCUGUCAGACAGCAGCUCUAUAGAGAUGAGAUGACUUAGUGAUUCUGUCAGACAGCAGCUCUAUAGAGAUGAGAUGACUUAGUGAUUCUGUCAGACAGCAGCUCUAUAGAGAUGAGAUGACUUAGUGAUUCUGUCAGACAGCAGCUCUAUAGAGAUGAGAUGACUUAGUGAUUCUGUCAGACAGCAGCUCUAUAGAGAUGAGAUGACUUAGUGAUGUUGUCAGACAGCAGCUCUAUAGAGAUGAGAUGAUGACUUGGAAAUAAAAUUAUAAAGUUAACAAAUAAAACAAAUGUAAUAUACACAAUAACUGAAAUAUUGUAUUAAAGUAAAGUAAUGUGAAUAAAUUAUGGUUAAUAAGUGAUCAGCAGUAAUGGGCGGUCACUACCAUCAUGGGACUUUUACAAAGCCUUGCGAAAGUGUUCAUCCCCCUAACGUUUUUCCUAUUUCGUUGCAUUCCAACCUGUUAUUUAAAUAGAUUUUUAUUUGGAUUUCAUGUAAUGGACAAACACAAAAUUGUCCAAAUUGAUGAAGUGAAAUGAAAAGAAUAGCUUGUUUUAAAAAAAAACAUGUUUUUAAGGAAAAGUGGUGUGUGCAUAUGUAUUCACCCCCUUCGCUAUGAAGCCCCUAAAUAAGAUCUGGUGCAACCUAUUACCUUCAGAAGUCACGUAAUUAGAUAGUUAAAUAAAGUCCACCAUUAAAUCCAUUAUUAAAAAAUGGAAAGAAUAUGGCACCACAACAAACCUGCCAAGAGAGGGCCGCCCACCAAAACUCACAGACCAGGCAAGGAGGGCAUUAAUCAGAGAGGCAACAAAGAGACCAAAGAUAAGCCUGAAGGAGCUGCAAAGCUCCACAGAGCUAUAAGACAUGUGGGAGACUCCCCAAACAUAUGGAAUAAGGUACUCUGGUCAGAAGAGGUUAAAUUGAGCUUUUAUGCCAUCAAGGAAAACGCAAUGUCUGGUGCAAACCCAACACCUCAUAACCCCGAGAACACCACCCCCACAGUGAAGCAUGGUGGUGGCAGCAUCAGGCUGUGGGGAUGUUUUUCAUCGGCAGAGACAGGGAAACUGGUCAGAAUUGAAGGAAUGAUGGAUGGAGCUAAAUACAGGGACAUUCUUGGGGGAAACAUGUUUGUCUUCCAGAGAUUUGAGACUGGAACGGAGGUUCACCAUCCAGCAGGACAAUGACCCCAAGCACACUGCUAAAGCAACACUGAAGUGGUUUAAGGGGAAACAUUUAAAUGUCUUGGAAUGGCCUAGUCAAAGCCCUAACCUCAAUCUAAUUGAGAAUCUGUGGUAUCACUUAAAGAUUACUGUACACCAGCGGAACCCGGAGUUGGAGCAGUUUUCCCUCUGAGAAUGGGCCAAUCUCCCAGUGGCUAGAUGUGCCAAGCUUAUAGAGACAUACCCCAAGAGACUUGCAGCUGUAAUUGCUGCAAAAGGUGGCUCUACAAAGUAUUGACUUUGUGAGUUAUACAGGCUUAAGUUUUCAGUUUUUUUGCCUUAUUUCUUGGCUGUUUCACCAUAAAAAAAUAUUUUGCAUCUUCAAAGUGGUAGGCAUGUUGUGUAAAUCAAAUGAUACAACCCCCCCCCCCCCCAAAAAAAAAAAAUACAAUUUUAAUUCCAGGUUGUAAGGCAACAAAAUAGGAAAAAUGUCAAGGAGAGAGAAUAAUUUCACAAGCCACUGUAUUAGUUAUUGUAUUCUGUGUUAAAAUAUUCAACCCACAUAAUGCAUAGUUCAUUUAAUGUUUAAAAACUUAUCGAAACUGAAAUCAAAAAACGUGAUUAUUUUUAAUAAUCUAACCGAACCGACCUCAAAAAAACACUAAUCGCUUUAAUGUUUAUUGUCAACUUUAUAUUUUUAACACCUCGAUAAUUUUUUCGAAUCGAACCGAAACCAAGUUGGCCUAGAAAAGCACUAAUUGCUCAGUUUACACAUUAUAGACUAGUUACCCAGAUCAAUACACACUAUAGACCAGUUACCCAUAUCAAUACACACUAUAGACCAGUUACCCAGAUCAAUACACACCAUAGACCAGUUACCCCCCAGAUCAAUACACACUAUAGACCAGUUACCCCCCAGAUCAAUACACACUAUAGACCAGUUACCCCCCAGAUCAAUACACACUAUAGACCAGUUACCCAGAUCAAUACACACUAUAGACCAGUUACCCAGAUCAAUACACACUAUAGACCAGUUACCCAGAUCAAUACACACUAUAGACCAGUUACCCUGAUCAAUACACACUAUAGACCAGUUACCCUGAUCAAUACACACUAUAGACCAGUUACCCUGAUCAAUACACACUAUAGACCAGUUACCCAGAUCAAUACACACUAUAGACCAGUUACCCAGAUCAAUACACACUAUAGACCAGUUACCCUGAUCAAUACACACUAUAGACCAGUUACCCUGAUCAAUACACACUAUAGACCAGUUACCCAGAUCAAUACACACUAUAGACCAGUUACCCUGAUCAAUACACACUAUAGACCAGUUACCCCCCAGAUCAAUACACACCAUAGACCAGUUACCCAGAUCAAUACACACUAUAGACCAGUUACCCCCCAGAUCAAUACACACUAUAGACCAGUUACCCCCCAGAUCAAUACACACUAUAGACCAGUUACCCCCCAGAUCAAUACACACUAUAGACCAGUUACCCCCCAGAUCAAUACACACUAUAGACCAGUUACCCCCCAGAUCAAUACACACUAUAGACCAGUUACCCUGAUCAAUACACACUAUAGACCAGUUACCCAGAACAAUACACACUAUAGACCAGUUACCCUUAUCAAUACACACUACAGACCAGUUACCCAGAUCAAUACACACUAUAGACCAGUUACCCAGAUCAAUACACACUAUAGACCAGUUACCCUGAUCAAUACACACUAUAGACCAGUUACCCAGAUCAAUACACACUAUAGACCAGUUACCCCCCAGAUCAAUACACACUAUAGACCAGUUACCCCCCAGAUCAAUACACACCAUAGACCAGUUACCCCCCAGAUCAAUACACACUAUAGACCAGUUACCCAGAUCAAUACACACUAUAGACCAGUUACCCAGAUCAAUACACACUAUAGACCAGUUACCCCCAGAUCAAUACACACCAUAGACCAGUUACCCCCCAGAUCAAUACACACUAUAGACCAGUUGCCCUGAUCAAUACACACUAUAGACCAGUUACCCAGAUCAAUACACACUAUAGACCAGUUACCCCCCAGAUCAAUACACAUUAUAGACCAGUUACCCAGAUCAAUACACACUAUAGACCAGUUACCCCCAGAUCAAUACACACUAUAGACCAGUUACCCCCCAGAUCAAUACACACUAUAGACCAGUUACCCUGAUCAAUACACACUAUAGACCAGUUACCCCCCAGAUCAAUACACACUAUAGACCAGUUACCCAUAUCAAUACACACUAUAGACCAGUUACCCAGAUCAAUACACACUAUAGACCAGUUACCCCCCAGAUCAAUACACACUAUAGACCAGUUACCCCCCAGAUCAAUACACACUAUAGACCAGUUACCCUGAUCAAUACACACUAUAGACCAGUUACCCCCCAGAUCAAUACACACCACAGACCAGUUACCCAGAUCAAUACACACUAUAGACCAGUUACCCCCCAGAUCAAUACACACUAUAGACCAGUUAUCCUGAUCAAUACACACUAUAGACCAGUUACCCUGAUCAAUACACACUAUAGACCAGUUACCCUCCAGAUCAAUACACACUAUAGACCAGUUACCCCCCAGAUCAAUACACACUAUAGACCAGUUACCCAGAUCAAUACACACUAUAGACCAGUUACCCUGAUCAAUACACACUAUAGACCAGUUACCCUGAUCAAUACACACUAUAGACCAGUUACCCAGAUCAAUACACACUAUAGACCAGUUACCCAGAUCAAUACACACUAUAGACCAGUUACCCAGAUCAAUACACACUAUAGACCAGUUACCCCCCAGAUCAAUACACACUAUAGACCAGUUACCCAGAUCAAUACACACUAUAGACCAGUUACCCUGAUCAAUACACACUAUAGACCAGUUACCCCCCAGAUCAAUACACACUAUAGACCAGUUACCCUGAUCAAUACACACUAUAGACCAGUUACCCAGAUCAAUACACACUAUAGACCAGUUACCCUGAUCAAUACACACUAUAGACCAGUUACCCAGAUCAAUACACACUAUAGACCAGUUACCCUGAUCAAUACACACUAUAGACCAGUUACCCCCCAGAUCAAUACACACUAUAGACCAGUUACCCAGAUCAAUACACACUAUAGACCAGUUACCCUGAUCAAUACACACUAUAGACCAGUUACCCAGAUCAAUACACACUAUAGACCAGUUACCCCCCUGAUCAAUACACACUAUAGACCAGUUACCCAUAUCAAUACACACUAUAGACCAGUUACCCAGAUCAAUACACACUAUAGACCAGUUACCCAGAUCAAUACACACUAUAGACCAGUUACCCAGAUCAAUACACACUAUAGACCAGUUACCCAGAUCAAUACACACUAUAGACCAGUUACCCAGAUCAAUACACACUAUAGACCAGUUACCCAGAUCAAUACACACUAUAGACCAGUUACCCAGAUCAAUACACACUAUAGACCAGUUACCCAGAUCAAUACACACUAUAGACCAGUUACCCCCCAGAUCAAUACACACUAUAGACCAGUUACCCCCCAGAUCAAUACACACUAUAGACCAGUUACCCCCCAGAUCAAUACACACUAUAGACCAGUUACCCCCCAGAUCAAUACACACUAUAGACCAGUUACCCAGAUCAAUACACACUAUAGACCAGUUACCCAGAUCAAUACACACUAUGAUGUAUGAGAGGGAACAGUCCCUGUCAACUAAUAGUUGAAUCCUUGGUUCCGUGUGUCUGAAUGUGUUUACUAACAGCGUUAGUGCCCACAGUGUGGCUCAACUGGGACAAAUACAUUCUCCUUUUCUGUCCCCUUACUUGGACAUGUUUAAUUAGAAAUACAUUUCAACAAGUGACGCAAUUGAGAGUUGUUACUUAUCAUGUUACUUUCCUAAUGACGGUGAUUUGACCUUAAGUAGCUUUAUGGGAUUCUUAUAACAGGUCUUUGCCUGGAUACCAAAAAAAAAAAAAAACGCCUUGCUACUUUUCUAAUGUGCACUUCUGAGAAGAAAAUAACCCAAUUUCUCUCUCUGGUAAAAAUAGAUGUUUUUUGUUACAAAAUAAAUUAUGAAAUCUAACCACAAAAUAUUACGUGAUUUCCUUGUUUUUCCCCCAGGAAGAGUGUGGAGAAAAAGGUCCCAAAAUCAACAGGUUUCUUACAUCUAAAGUAUAAUAAAAUAAAUAAAUAAUAAUAUAUAAUAAUUAUAAUAAUAAUAUAAUAAAGUCCUAAAAGGGAAAACCCUGAAGUACAAACUACUGUAACCUGCAAUAUUACAACUGUAACUUAAUACUGUUUCUAUGACUACCACAGGCUUUAAUUGAAGAUGUUUUCACUCCUAUAACGACCAUGUAUUUAUAGAGAUUCAAUAAGAUGAAGGGUUUAAAUUCUAUCUUUUAUGAGAUGA